CUGCGGAAGGAUCAUUAUCAAAACAGCGGACUUCGGUCCUUGCUGCACCCUUGUCUUUUGCGUACCGUAUGUUUCCUCGGCGGGCUUGCCUGCCGGUUGGACAUUAUCAAACCUUUUUGUAGUUGCAAUCAGCGUCAGAAAACAAAUAAUAAUUACAACUUUCAACAACGGAUCUCUUGGUUCUGGCAUCGAUGAAGAACGCAGCGAAAUGCGAAAAGUAGUGUGAAUUGCAGAAUUCAGUGAAUCAUCGAAUCUUUGAACGCACAUUGCGCCCCUUGGUAUUCCAUGGGGCAUGCCUGUUCGAGCGUCAUUUUGUACCCUCAAGCACUGCUUGGUGUUGGGCGUUUGUCCUGCAAAGGACUCGCCUGAAAGCGAUUGGCGGCCAACGUACUGGUGGUAGAGCGCAGCACAAUUUGCGUCUCUCCCUUCUACGUCGGCGUCCAUGAAGCCUAUUCUCAACGUUUGACCUCGGAUCAGGUAG
rnacentral:rRNA from 1 species